UCAGUGCUGCUUGAUGUGUUUGAUUGUAUGCAAACUCAGAGAGCUUCCUUGUUACUCAGCUAUAAAAACUUGCCAUCAGGCUGUCAGUGGAGUUCACAGCUCGUCACCUUCAACAGAAAGCAUGUUUUCUGGAGCUCUGCUGCUGCUGCUGCUGCUGGCAGCUGGAUGUGUGAAGUGUGAAACGCUGACUCAGCCAGCCUCUGUGACUGUGCAGCCAGGUCAGAGUCUGACCAUCACCUGUCAGGUCUCUUAUGCUCUCAGCAGCUACUACACAGCCUGGAUCAGACAGCCUGCAGGGAGAGGACUGGAGUGGAUUGUAUUAGGAGGACGUGUUGGACACACAACAUAUAUCAAAGAUUCACUGAAGAACAAGUUCAGUAUCACCUCAGACUCCUCCAGUAAAACAGUGACUCUAAACGGACAGAACAUGCAGCCUGGAGACUCUGCUGUGUAUUACUGUGCCAGAGACCCACAACAACACAAACCAUCUGUAGAGCUGAACAAAAACCCCUCAGAGCCUGAACACCUGUGACAUGAAGCCACCAGA